rnacentral:misc_RNA from 1 species
GCAAACUUGGUCAUUUAGAGGAAGUAAAAGUCGUAACAAGGUUUCCGUAGGUGAACCUGCGGAAGGAUCAUUACAUGACGCGCCCAGCUUCGGCUUGGGAGUGCUCUCGUCCUUGCUUAUUUAUACCUUAUGUUGUUCCCUCGGUGGGUAGCCACCUGCCGAUUGGGAAAUUUCACCACCCUUUGCAUGUAGAACUAUUCUUCUGAACAAACAUUAAAUCAUUACAACUUUCAACAAUGGAUCUCUUGGUUCUGGCAUCGAUGAAGAACGCAGC